rnacentral:rRNA from 41 species
UGACCUCAAAUCAGGUAGGACUACCCGCUGAACUUAAGCAUAUC